AACGAACGCUGGCGGCAGGCUUAACACAUGCAAGUCGAACGCAUCCUUCGGGGUGAGUGGCAGACGGGUGAGUAACGCGUGGGAGCGUGCCCUUCAGUUCGGGAUAACCCAGGGAAACUUGGGCUAAUACCGGAUACGUGCGAGAGCAGAAAGAUUUAUCGCUGAAGGAUCGGCCCGCGUCUGAUUAGCUAGUUGGUGGGGUAAUGGCCCACCAAGGCGACGAUCAGUGGCGGGUCUGAGAGGAUGAUCAGCCACAUUGGGACUGAGACACGGCCCAAACUCCUACGGGAGGCAGCAGUGGGGAAUAUUGGACAAUGGGCGCAAGCCUGAUCCAGCCAUGCCGCGUGAGUGAUGAAGGCCUUAGGGUUGUAAAGCUCUUUCGUCCGGGACGAUAAUGACAGUACCGGAAGAAGAAGCCCCGGCUAACUUCGUGCCAGCCGCCGCGGUAA
rnacentral:rRNA from 1 species